GAGAGCGGAAUGCUAACGACAGGGAGGAGGUCAAGAAGGUACACAGUGACCCAACCAGCAGGCUCACAGUGGCCUCUCUGAGCCAUUCUGAGCUGGGUCUUUCCUGGUCAAAAAUGUGCAUGUGCACACCGGACACCCAUCUGCUUGCUUCAGUAGCAUUUCUGAUGCCUAGGCAAGGGGGCAGGAACUAAGUGAUGGGAGGGAGGGGGUUCACUCGAGAGAGUAGGGGCUGAGGUGGAGGUGAUGCUGGGGGGCCAACGUGGCACGCACACCUGCAAGGGGCCUGCUGGGGCAGAUGGUAAAUCGGAGUUGGGGGGAGGAGGAUGCACAGAGGGGUACUCAGAGCUGGAGGCACAGCAGGCAGCUUUACCUCUCCUUGCGACGACGUCACAGAUGAGCAGUUAGCACCUAAUUACAUACACAGGUGCAAGAGGUUAAAGUGCGGCACGAGAAUCCACCCCUUUUUACUCUUGGAAUCAUCUGGCUAAUAUUGAAAUAAGCUUUCACUACUAUGGCCUGCAUCUAUCUUUUUUUUUUUUUUCUUUUGGUAUGGGGGAUCGAACUCAGGACCUUGUGCUUGCGAGGCAGGCGGCGGAACCACUGAGCUAAAUCCCCGGCCCAAUGGUCUGCAUCUAAAGGGGUUCUGGGCGGAAGUGGCAGACACUCACCAAGAAGUCAGAGUAUAGCAGAGAAAUCAUCUCUUCUUUGCCACUUACAGAAACUCAGAGCCUAGGUGGGCACUGGAGCACACUGGAGUGUUCUUGUUAACAGGGGAUGCAGGGUGCAUCCUGCAUCCGGUGGGUAAAACCUGAGGCGUGAAUCCUUCUUUGCAACUCAGUAACUUAGGGCAAACUUAGGGCGGGUCUGGCUCUGGCCCUGUGUGGUCAGGGGCUGGGGACAGAGGGCUGUGACCGCUCAGCCUUGCAGGCGGGCAGCUGGUGGCAGAGGAGCUGCAGGGCCGAGAGCACCUCCCACAUCCCUUUACCUCGGUGAGCCAGGAGGGAGGGGCAGCCAGGCUUUGGGGCUCCCAUUCCCAUGGCCUCAGCACCUCGGAGAAAGGUUUCCCAUUAUCUUGCCUAACUGACCAUUUUAAGAGCUUUACAAUUUCUCUUCUUUUUGAAAGUGAAACUAAAAUCAAUCUUAAUUAAGGCAUAAAGAGACUUCUCAAGGUUGUACAAAGCCAAUUCAUUGAUCAUGCUCAAACAUAAAUGGGUUUAGCAAAGAGGGGGCAUGUCCCCCAAUAAUCAGUUCCCAUUUAGACGGCUGCCUGUGCUGCAGGUCCUUCGAAGGGGACAGAGUAACGUUAGGACAAGGACUUCUACAGCUCCUGCCAGCCAGAGCUUGAAGUGCGUGAUGAGCCAGUAGUACUCCGAGGUUCAUCUCAGAACUCCCCAAAAGAGAAGCAUAAAGAAACCGAAAAACCUGGACCCUUUUCUAUCCCUUUGGGGUUCUGGGUCUCAGUGUGCUUCAACUACUCAGUUCUGCUUCAUUCUUCCCACAGUGCCUUCUCCCUCCUCCUUCAAACCUGGGCUUUAGUGCUGGCCUCCGUGACCCCUAUUUAAACCUGCAGUCCCCGACCCCCCCUCACCCUGCUGGGCUUUGCCAUUUUUCCACACCAUUCAUUCCUCUGCAGUGUAAACACUUAUCAUCAUCGCUACCCAGUCUGCCCCGUGAGUUACGGCCAAGCCUGUGAGGGCUGGGGUCUCUAUUUCCCACACAGAGAAUGGUGCCUGCUGUGGAGAGAUGGGGUGUCACUUCUCAGAGACAUGCUCUUUGGGGGGGGCCUCCCCAAGUACUCCUUCCCACCUCCUUUUAUGUGGACGCCUAGCCAUGCUCAGUCCUAAAUCCCUUAGCAGCCUGGGCCUCUUGCGAAAUGACUUCAGACUGCAAGCGGGGUCCCCAAGAACACCUCAGGUGGACUCUGCACACUCUCAAGCCCCAGCUGGGGUUCCCACACACCUGGCUGGUGGAGCAGGCGCCCUGAAGGCCUGAGAAGAACAAGGCAGGUCACUUAACUGACCGAAAAGUGAGUACCUUGCCUAUUCGUCGCUUUCUUGGUGAAUUAUCUUUUUUUUUUUUUUUGGUACCAGGGAUCGAACUCGGGUCCUUGUGCUUGCAAGGCAAGCAACGGAACCACUGAGCUAAAUCCCUGGCCCAUGGUGAAUUAUCUUAAGCAAAUUCUGAGUUUCACACCUGUUUUCCAGGUCACCUUAAUGUGCGUGGGAUGCCUUUUCUGUGGCUAGCUGGUAUUUUCUGAGAGAGUAACAGUUAUGGCAACAGUAACAAAGUAUAGAAGAGGACGGGCAGGCUGCGGAAUGCAUGAGACUUUUCCAAGCUAGUCUGGUGUCUCAACUUUUGUUUUUUGGUACCAAGGAUCGGACUUAGGACCUUGCGCUUACGCGGCAGGCGGCGGCAACACUGAGCUAAAUCCCCGGCCUGUCAACUUUUAACUCAUUAGGCUGUGCAACUGCUCCAUACCCAGGAGGCACCUGAGAGACCUUUGUCCUUCCUCUCUCCAGGCCACCCUGCUCAGGACUCAGCUACAGGUAGACAGCUGCUUCCCACCCUGAAACCGCCUUCCUGUUAACUGAGGGACGUUCAGGCACCCUGGGCAGCCACUCUCCUGCUCCAGCCCAGGCCCGGGACAGCCUCCUGCAGCUCUUACCUCAUCAAGCCCAGGAACACCAGGAGGAUGAGACUGACGAGCCAGCCGGCGGUGGCAAAGGCCUUGGGCAUGGGAAUGAAGACUCAUCCUCCCAGGAUGGUGGAGAGAAGGUGUUUUCUUCCCUGAAAGAUAGAGAUGACCACUAUCUCCUGGUCACCACCACCUCAUCCCACCACUGCCCAUCUUUCUCCUACAUCUCUCUUUACCGUAGGAUAAGAGAAAACAGCACUUGUUUAUGGCAACUGUCCAGUCCUGGCCCUCAAAGAAAGACGCUGAAUAAAAUAAAGCACACAGGAAAUGGAGGCAAAAGAAAAAAGCAGUAGACUGGGCAUGGUGGUACGCAUGUUAAUCCCAGCGCUCAGGAGGCUGAGGCAGGAGGAUCACAAGUUUGAGGUCAGCCUGGGCUACCUAGUGAGUUCAAGACCAGUGUGAUACAACAGAGCAAGUACCUAUGUUAGCGCAUGUGUGAGAGAGAGACAGAGAGAGAGAGAGAGACAGAAAGAGAGAGAGAGAAGCUUGUAGGCCUAACUUCUCAGUCUCCUAUGGGCACAUGCUGACACUUGAAAUGAUGACUCGAACAAGAAAUGGGGGCAUCUUAAAUCCUUCCAAAACUCGGUUACAGAAAUGACUCAUUUUCUUACAUCUAAGUUUAAGGACACUGUAAGAAAAAGCAGGAAGUGUGGGACUUUUAGGCAUGGCCAUGUCACUGCUGACAUGGGAGACUGGCAACUAUUACAUAAUUCCACAUACAAGAGGGACACUAUUCAUUCCAUUCCAGGGUUCACAGAAGACUUCCCUGGGUAAACUAUAGAGGUGAAGGAGGCUCCUGUAUGGCAGCAUGCCAAUGGUGCAGGCCCAACAGGAAGACCCUGAAGUGAGGAAGGUUUCUUCUGGUUCAUAGACACGCUUCCUUAUCCAUCACACUGCAAUGCUAGUGUCUGUGACAGGAGCAGAAACAGUGCACAGGUCCCCAGGGUAGAAAGGUGUGUGUAAAGCAGGCCAGCAGCUUAAGGCAGGUAAUUUCUAGAAAGAAGGCCCUGGCUACUUAUAGGAAUGUUGCUUUUCCCUGGGAUACUUGGUAGCAACAAGAGCCAAUCGUCUGAUUAUUCAAGUGAUUACCUGCCAGCUACUGAUCCAAGCAAGAGGUUCUGUGAUGUAACUACCAUGACCAGUGGACCUUACACACAGAAGACUGAGUGUGGGGGGGAGUGAGGAGUAGCAGAGACUCAUGACAGGUAUCAAUCAUUCUAACUGUCCUAAUUGCAGACUCCAACUAACUACAACUUGAAGCCUCUGACUCUUUCGCCAUCCAAGGCCAUAAAAGUUGUGCAACUUAAAAGUUAGCUGAAGACCAAAGCAUGUUCAAAUCGCUGAGAUGAAUAAAACCCAAAGUCAACAACUGUCAAUCACUGUCCAUCUGAAGGGCUGCACCAUAUGCAAGUGGUGGUGGUAGCCCAGCAAUAAAUAUAAAGAGUUAGCAAGGUAAUUUUGUUGGGCUUGACAAUCUCUGAUACUCAUCUAAAAAGGGAAUAAACCCAAUUCAAUAUUCUGAGCUA